rnacentral:tRNA from 1 species
GGCGGAUGUAGCCAAGUGGAUCAAGGCAGUGGAUUCGUGACUCCACCAUGCGCG